GACGAAGGUGGCAACCGUUGCUCGGAUUCACUGGGCAUAAAGCGCGCGUAGGUGGCUUGGUAGGUCGUCGGUGAAAUCCUCCGGCUCAACCGGAGAACUGCCGACGAAACCGCCUGGCUUGAGGACGGGAGGGGAGAGUGGAACUCCUGGUGUAGCGGUGAAAUGCGUAGAUAUCAGGAGGAACGCCGGUGGCGAAAGCGACUCUCUGGACCGUUCCUGACACUGAGGCGCGAAAGCUAGGGGAGCAAACAGG
rnacentral:rRNA from 1 species